rnacentral:rRNA from 1 species
UACAGAGGGUGCGAGCGUUGUCCGGAAUCACUGGGCGUAAAGGGCGCGUAGGCGGUCUGCUAAGCGUGCGGUGAAAGCCCGGGGCUCAACCCCGGGUCGGCCGUGCGAACUGGUGGACUGGAGCUUGUCAGAGGCAGGCGGAAUUCCGGGUGUAGCGGUGGAAUGCGUAGAGAUCCGGAAGAACACCGGUGGCGAAGGCGGCCUGCUGGGACAGUGCUGACGCUGAAGCGCGACAGCGUGGGGGAGCAAACAGG